rnacentral:rRNA from 1 species
UACAGAGGUCCCGAGCGUUGUUCGGAUUCACUGGGCGUAAAGGGUGCGUAGGUGGUGGAGUAAGUUUGAUGUGAGAUCUCCGGGCUUAACCCGGAAACUGCAUUGAAUACUAUUUUGCUGGAGGUUUGGAGGGGGGACUGGAAUUCUCGGUGUAGCAGUGAAAUGCGUAGAUAUCGAGAGGAACACCAGUGGCGAAGGCGAGUCCCUGGACAACACCUGACACUGAGGCACGAAAGCUAGGGGAGCAAACAGG